rnacentral:rRNA from 1 species
UACGAAGGGUGCAAGCGUUAAUCGGAAUUACUGGGCGUAAAGGGCUCGUAGGCGGCCAACUAAGUCAGACGUGAAAUCCCUCGGCUUAACCGGGGAACUGCAUCUGAUACUGGAUGGCUUGAGUUUGGGAGAGGGAUGCGGAAUUCCAGGUGUAGCGGUGAAAUGCGUAGAUAUUGGGAAGAACACCGGUGGCGAAGGCGGCGACCUGGUCCUUUUACUGACGCUGAGGCGCGAAAGCGUGGGGAGCAAACAGG